GCCAAUCAGCGGAAGCCGCCGGGGCCGCCUAGAGAAGAGGCUGUGCUUCGGCGCUCCGGCUCCUCAGAGAGCCUCGGCUAGCUGGGAUUCUGUCCCUGACCGUCUUCACAGUCCAGGUGAUCUUGACUACUGCUUUACAGAGAAUUGGAUCUGAGGUGUGGAAACAGGAAGAGAACUAGAACUGGAAGUAAAGCAUUGAAGAUGUGACUGAAUUGCUGCAAUCUCAUGAUCAAAUUUGAAUGGAUGAGGAGUUGCUUUUUAGGGAUGAGCAAAGAAAGUGGUUUCUCGAGAUGGAAUCUACUGGUGAAGUUGCUGUGAACAUUGUUAAAAUGCCAAUAAAGGAUUUAGGAAUUACAGAAACCUGGUUGAUAAAGCAGUGCCAGGGUGUGAGAGAGUUGACUUCAAUUUUGAAAUAAGUUCCACUGGCUGGGUGUGGUGGCUCACACCUGCAAUCCCAGUACUUUAGGAGGCCGAGACUGGUAGAUCAUUUGAGGUCAGGAGUUCAAGACCAGCCUUGCCAACAUGGUGAAACCCCACCUCUACCAAAUUAGCCAGGUGUGGUGCACACCUGUAGUCCCAGCUACUUGGGAAGCUGAGGCAGGAGAAUCUCUUGAACCAGGGAGGAGGAGGUUGCAGUAAGCCGAGAUGGCGCCCCUGCACUCCAGCCUGGGUGACAGAGUGAGACCUUGCGUUUAAAAAAAAAAAAAAAGGAAAAGGAAAAAAAAGUUCUACUGUGGGUAAAAUGCUAUCAUGCUAUCAAACAGCAUCACAUGCUACAGAGAAGUCUUGUGAAAGGAUGUCAGUGUGGCAAACUUCAUUGUCUUUUAAGAAAUUGCCACAGCUAUCGUAAUCUUCAACCACCACCACCCUGAUGAGUCAGUAGCCAUCGUUAACGUUGGCGUAAGACCCUCCACCAGCAAAAAGAUUGUUAGCAUUUUUUUAGCAGUGAUGUAUUUAUCAAUUAUACAUAAUGCUAUUGUACACUUCUUAAUAGACUAUGGUAUAGUGUAACCAUAAUUUAUGCACUGGGAAACCAACAAAUUCAUGAGAUUCGCUUUAUUGUAGUGCUCUGGAAUUGAGCCUGCCGUGUUUCUGAGGUAUACCUGUGUAUUUAGUAUGUUCCUUGUAUAUAAAACCCCAUUUUAUAGGGUAGGAAACUAAGGCUUAGAGUUUGAGCAAUUUUCCCAUAGAUAACACCAAUAAAUUGAGGGCUGCAGAGACCACUUAAGUGGUUCUCUUAACAGUAGUCUAGACAUGACGUAAUGAGAUUUGGCUUAGGAGUGACAAUGGUAAGGAAGUUAAAGGAUUCAGGAACCAAAUACCAGUUAUUGAGAAGAAAGAAUGGCCUCAAAACAUCACUUCUCAAGGAAGCCUUGAUACCCUCACCCUUACUACACUGUAUCCUCCAUUUGAAUGUUGUCAAGAGCUCUUCUCACAAUUGUAAAUAAUAAUUGUGUAAUUUUGUUUUUUUUUUCCUACUUUAGGUUGCUCCUUGAGGGCAGGACAGUUCUUAUGGCUUUAUCCGUUGCGUAAGCACAGAGAGGUCUGCGAGGUCAAAACUAUUGUCAUGAUAGCAAGAUGCCUGUCUUUUUCAUUUAUUCUCACGGUGUGCAGAGGCUACAUGAUGUGUGAUGACAUCCUCAUUGAUGUUAAUGAAUGGUGCUAUACUUGAAUUUUCUAAGGUGUCAUUAGGCUGACUGCAACCUCUGUCUCCUGGGUUCAAGCAAUUCUCCUGCCUCAGCCUCCUGCAUAACUGGGACUACAGGGAAGCACCAUUUUCCACAAAACUCUCAAGAAGGACUUGUUGCAACUGGAAAAGCAAUUAAAUGUGAAUCGUGAUCCAGGAGAAAGUA
rnacentral:lncRNA from 1 species